AUGCCCUCUAGCCCCCAUGCCCUCCUACGUCUGAUUUCCCACCCUUUGUGUCCUCACGGCCCUGGGAAUGAGGAAGCAUCCACCACACGGACAAGAAGCCCUCCAAUGCCCUGAAACCUGUGCCCCAUACCCCCUACCCCAGACCUCCAGCCCCUUAGCCCCAUGGUUCUGAAUCCCCAGUGCCCAACUUUCGCACUCCCCUGGCUCUGUUGGCUCCUUUCCUCACUGUCCCCUGACUUGAGCUGCUGAUCCCAUGUGCGCUGCCAACUGACCCUGUAACCCCGCUUCCAGUUAUCUUGUUAUCUGACCCCAUGCUCCCUGAGCACUGGUCCCUCCCCGUUGAGCUCCAUACCUUCUGACCCCCACCCUUGACCCACAUCACUGUCCUGUGUCACCAGACGGGGCGGGCACCAUGAACAAGUUACGGCAGAGCCUGCGGCGGAGGAAGCCAGCCUACGUGCCCGAGGCGUCGCGCCCGCACCAGUGGCAGGCAGACGAGGACGCGGUGCGGAAGGGCACGUGCAGCUUCCCGGUCAGGUACCUGGGUCACGUGGAGGUAGAGGAGUCCCGGGGAAUGCACGUGUGUGAAGAUGCGGUGAAGAAGCUGAAGGCGAUGGGCCGAAAGUCCGUGAAGUCUGUCCUGUGGGUGUCAGCCGAUGGGCUCCGAGUGGUGGACGACAAAACCAAGGAUCUUCUGGUCGACCAGACCAUCGAAAAGGUCUCCUUUUGUGCUCCUGACCGCAACCUG
rnacentral:sRNA from 1 species